UACGAAGGGGGCUAGCGUUGCUCGGAAUUACUGGGCGUAAAGGGCGCGUAGGCGGACAGUUAAGUCAGAGGUGAAAGCCCAGGGCUCAACCCUGGAAUUGCCUUUGAUACUGGCUGUCUUGAGUAUGGGAGAGGUAAGCGGAACUCCGAGUGUAGAGGUGAAAUUCGUAGAUAUUCGGAAGAACACCAGUGGCGAAGGCGGCUUACUGGCCCAUUACUGACGCUGAGGAGCGAAAGCGUGGGGAGCGAACAGG
rnacentral:rRNA from 1 species